rnacentral:rRNA from 1 species
AUUGAACGCUGGCGGCAGGCCUAACACAUGCAAGUCGAGCGGAUGACGGGAGCUUGCUCCUUGAUUCAGCGGCGGACGGGUGAGUAAUGCCUAGGAAUCUGCCUGGUAGUGGGGGACAACGUUCCGAAAGGAGCGCUAAUACCGCAUACGUCCUACGGGAGAAAGUGGGGGAUCUUCGGACCUCACGCUAUCAGAUGAGCCUAGGUCGGAUUAGCUAGUUGGUGAGGUAAAGGCUCACCAAGGCGACGAUCCGUAACUGGUCUGAGAGGAUGAUCAGUCACACUGGAACUGAGACACGGUCCAGACUCCUACGGGAGGCAGCAGUGGGGAAUAUUGGACAAUGGGCGAAAGCCUGAUCCAGCCAUGCCGCGUGUGUGAAGAAGGUCUUCGGAUUGUAAAGCACUUUAAGUUGGGAGGAAGGGCAGUAAGUUAAUACCUUGCUGUUUUGACGUUACCGACAGAAUAAGCACCGACUAACUCUGUG